UUUUUUUUUUUUUUUUAAGGGCCACACCCGCAGCAUAUGGAGGUUCCCAGGCUAGGGGUUCAAUCGGAGCUGUAGCUGCAGGCGUACACCACAGCCACAGCCACACCAGAUCCAACCUGCAUCUGCAACCUACACCACAGGUCACGGCAACACCAGAUCCUUAAUCCACUGAGUGAGGCCAGGGAUCGAACCCACAACCUCAUGGAUGCUAGCUGGGUUUGUUAACCGCUGAGCCACAAAGGGAAUUCCUGCUACAUUUCUUUUUUGCACGAUUAAGAAGACUUCUUUUUUUUUUUUUUUUUUGGUCUUUUUCCAGGGCCACACCCAUGGCAUAUUGAGGUUCCCAGGCUAGGGGUCUAAUCAGAGCUGUAGCCACCAGCCUACUCCAGAGCCACACAACACGGGAUCUGAGCCGCAUCUGCGACCUACCCCACAGCUCACGGCAACGCCAGAUCCUUCACCCACUGAGCGAGGCCAGGGAUCGAACCCGCAACCUCAUGGUUCCUAGUCGGAUUCAUGAACCACUGCGCCACGACGGGAACUCCAGGAUUAAGAAGACUUCUAAUUCCUCCUCUAAUUCAUGUUACCCUUGUGGAGAAGACCCAUUCGAAAUCCCAGACCUGGCAUAAAGAUUUUAAACUGAAGACAUUUGAGAUUCAACAGAUGCAGAAAAAAGCCUUCUUGAGCUUCCCUUAUCGGACUAAAAGCAACUUCUGGGAAAUGAAGCUGCCAUAAAUCCCCUCUCGGGGGAGUUUUAUGGUCCUGAUGGAGACAGAAAGACUGCUCAUACCUGCAUGGAUGAUCAUUCUCACAAACUUUCUUAUCUCCUGCCUGGUCUUCUAAAAACCCGUCUGUUUUUCUUAAAUAAACCUAUUUGUUUUUCCUAAAGAAGCUGUUCCCACCCCCUCCCUUUACUAGGCUCGGUCUGUAAACCUUUAACCAUUUAAAGAGCCAGAUAGUUCUUUUGUUGGUUCCUGUAUGCAGAGGAAAAGAACCAUUUUCUCCUGUUAAACUGUCUCUUGGCAGUUUAAUUUAUAGGCCCCCGGGGAUUUAUCUCAGCGGGUAGCAGGGAAAGGGUUUUUUUUUUUUUUUUCUUUUCCUUCCCCACCCCCUCUAAGGAAAUGCGAGCAUCUCCUUUGUUUGAAAACAAGAAACAGCUUUGCUCCCCCUGGUGGUCACUGGGAGGUUCUGUCCAAACUGCAGGAAAACACAGUUGGAUGGCCGGCCGCCAAAGCCUGGUUCUGCUGUGCGACCUUGGGCAACUCAUUUGAGGAACUCCUUUGACGUGACUCUGGGUCUUUUGUGCCCCACCCUGGAAAAUGAGGACAGUCAUAGUUCCUGUGCGCUGCUUGUGAGGGGUUGCAGGAGUGACUGUGAAACACUUAGACCAGAACAGGUGUCUUUAAUAAAUGUCAGCUCCUAGUGCCCGCCUUUUGCAGCAGAGGGUCCCAAUUUAUUUUUUCUAAAACGGCCUCACAUGGGACACCAAUGAAAGUGCCCGUUGUUGACUAUUUGCAGUAUGGCUGGUGCUACUUUAGGUAUCUUCUCACUUAACCCUUAGGACAAUCCCGAAAGGUAAAGCCAGGGGUCAAGCCACGUUCCCUCUGACGCUGAAGCCCACACUGUGCCAUCCCUGCUUCUUCGACAACUAAAUGUUUGUUCAGCACCCACCAGGAAGCAUGGAGAUCCACAGUCGCUUUCCAAGUUUACCAUUCAAGUUUAAAUCUUAGGAAUGAAAAGUUAAGGCAUCACGAGCCACCCGCCCUCUGUGCCCCCUACCGUGCAGAGCUGUGGCCACGUCUUUGUGGGGCAUGGCUGGUUAGGAGACGCGGUCUCUGUGCUUGCCACCAGCUUAUCCUCAGACUGUCUCCUUUCUCCCAAAACCCUUUUAUUUGGAAAAUAAAGCCUUACCUCUGUAUUUGCCUGGAGGUAGAUGGCCUUCUAUUUCGUCUCGCCUGCGUGGCAAACUGCUCCAUCAUCGUCAGAGGCACGCGUUCAGCCACCCUUUACCAAACGCCCACUGUGUGUCCGACCUCCGCCCGGCCUCGGGGACCGAGGGGAAGGACCUCCAGAUAAAACAUAGGCCGUGCCCACAAUGCACAGCGAAGCCCGUUAACAAGGUCACGUGCGCCAGGUGCCAGAAUAAGUUGUGAUUCAACACAUUUGUGGGGGGAGAAGAGUCAAGCCAAUUUUCCAAGACAGUUGGCGUUUGAUGGAAUGGGGAAAGCACUCAAGGCCUUGGGAACAGAGGCGGGAAAGCGUGUCCUGUUACUGGGGCUUCGUGGGAGGGUUUUCUGCCCACGGCCAGAGCACGGGAGACGGCGGUGGGGAGCGACGAGAUGCAGAAGGCAGAUGGAGACCAGAUUGUGGCGUGUUUUGAUGGGAUCGUGAAGGAGGUGGACUUUGUCUUGCAGGCUCCAGGGAAAAGAGGGCAUCCGUAGUUUCUCAGCAGGGACGUGCCUGCGACAAGAUGUGAUUUCUGAGCCAGGAAGGGGGCCGUGUGAAGGAGGCGGGGAGGUGGAGAUGGAACCCAAGAAGGGGGAUAAGGGCCGGAGCUGAGCUGGUGAGGCUGCACAAACUGGAGACACGUGUGAGAGUCCACAAGCCCGGGAGCCCCGGGGGUGCAGACUUAGCAAACAGACGCUGGGUUCAAUGGGAAUGCCAGAUAAACAACAAAUCCUUUUUUUGGAAAUUGAAGCAUAGCCGAUUCACAGGAGCAGGGUCGUUUCAGGUGUAUAGCACAGUGAUUGGCACUGUGAUGGGAUUUAUACAUAUAUAUGCUAUACGUACACAUCUAUCUCUCUGUGCUAUACGUAUACAUACAUAUUCUUUUUCAGAUUCUUUCCCCUUAUAGGUUAUGACAAAAUAUUGAGUAUGGUUCCCUGCUAUACAGUAGGUCCUUGUUAUUUACACAUAGUAGUCUGUAUAUGUGAAUCCCAACCUCCUAAUUUAUCCCCCCCCCCCCCCCCCGUCCCCUUUAGCAACCUAAGUUUGUUUUCUAUGUCUGUGGGCCUCUGUUUGGUAAAUAAGUUCAUCUGUGUCUUAACAAAUCCUUUAUUUUUUAUGUUUUUGUUUUUUUUUUUCAGGGGCGCACCCGUGGCACAUGGAGGUUCCCAGGCUAGGAGUCGAAUUGGAGUUACAGCCGCUGGCCUACACCAUAGCCACAG
rnacentral:lncRNA from 1 species